rnacentral:rRNA from 1 species
AGUGGCGGACGGGUGAGUAACGCGUGUGAAUCUGGCUUCAGGAGGGGGACAACAGUUGGAAACGACUGCUAAUACCCCAUAUGUCUACGGAUGAAACGGUGAAUUCCGCCUGAAGAUGAGCUCGCGUCGGAUUAGCUAGUUGGUGAGGUAAAGGCUCACCAAGGCGACGAUCCGUAGCUGGUCUGAGAGGAUGAUCAGCCACACUGGGACUGAGACACGGCCCAGACUCCUACGGGAGGCAGCAGUGGGGAAUUUUCCGCAAUGGGCGAAAGCCUGACGGAGCAACGCCGCGUGCGGGAAGACGGCCUGUGGGUUGUAAACCGCUUUUCUCUGGGAAGAAUAAGUUGACGGUACCAGAGGAAUCAGCAUCGGCUAACUCCGUGCCAGCAGCCGCGGUAAUACGGAGGAUGCAAGCGUUAUCCGGUAUUAUUGGGCGUAAAGCGUCCGCAGGCGGCUUAUCAAGUCUGCUGUUAAAGGUCGGGGCUCAACUCCGGUUAGGCAGUGGAAACUGAUAGGCUAGAGUGUGGUAGGGGUAGAGGGAAUUCCCAGUGUAGCGGUGAAAUGCGUAGAUAUUGGGAAGAACACCAGUGGCGAAGGCGCUCUACUGGGCCACAACUGACGCUGAGGGACGAAAGCUAGGGGAGCGAAAGGGAUUAGAUACCCCUGUAGUCCUAGCUGUAAACGAUGGACACUAGGUGUUG